UACGAAGGGGCUAGCGUUGCUCGGAAUCACUGGGCGUAAAGGGUGCGUAGGCGGGUUUUAAGUCAGAGGUGAAAUCCUGGAGCUCAACUCCAGAACUGCCUUUGAUACUGAAAGUCUUGAGUAUGGGAGAGGUGAGUGGAACUGCGAGUGUAGAGGUGAAAUUCGUAGGAUUGUCAAGAACACCAGUGGCGAAGGCGGCUCACUGGCCCAUUACUGACGCUGAGGCACGAAAGCGUGGGGAGCAAACAGG
rnacentral:rRNA from 1 species